rnacentral:rRNA from 1 species
CCGUUGCCGGCGACCGGCGCACGGGUGAGUAACACGUAUGCAACCUGCCCGUGGCAGGGGGGAUAAGCGGGGGAAACCCCGUCUAAUACCGCGUAACGCGGCCUUGGGGCAUCCCAAGGCCGCCAAAGGGAGCAAUCCCGGCCACGGAUGGGCAUGCGGCGCAUUAGCUAGUCGGCGGGGUAACGGCCCACCGAGGCGACGAUGCGUAGGGGUUCUGAGAGGAAGGCCCCCCACACUGGUACUGGGACACGGACCAGACUCCUACGGAAGGCAGCAG